ACAACAUGGAGGUCAGAGCUCUCUGCAUUGCACAGUUGACUGUGAUGAUCCUGCUGUGUGCACAGGAUCAGGAAGUUGAUGCAGCUUUUCUUCGUAUCUCUCCAAACAGACUGCAGUUCUUUGAAUAUGAGUCGAUCACUUUGGACUGUGAUGGAGUCUUUUACUGUGAUGUUGAACAUAAAUUGAUUGGGGUGAAGCCCUCGUGUUGCACCACUAAUGACAGAACAUUUAAAGGACCUACCUGCACCAUUAAGAAUAUUUAUGAAGAGGACUCCGGAAAGUACUGGUGUGAGGAAGGAGGAGAGAGAAGUAACAUCAUCAACAUCAAUGUUGUUUCUGGUUCUGUGAUCCUGGAGAGUCCUGCUCUUCCUGUGGUGGAGGGAGAAAAUGUGACUCUGAGCUGCAGAACCAACAAAUCUUCCUCCAACAACACCAUCGAUUUCUACAAAGAUGGAAUCCUCGAGUGGAGAAGCUCCACAGGAAACAUGAACAUCAAAACAGUCUCCAUGUCUGAUCAUGGAUACUACAAAUGUCACAUUUCUGGAGUUGGAGAAUCACCUCAGAACUGGCUGUCUGUUAGAGAGUUGUCUAGAAAAGAUCAAGAAAGCUCUAAUCCUGCCUCUUCUUCCUCCUCAAAUACACCAUGGAUCAUCAUUGCUGUCUUGUUGAUGCUUGCCUUGUUGGUUGUGGGACUACAUCGCUAUGGCAGAUUUGCCUUUGUCAGAGAAUUUUGUUCACAGUUAAUGACAGUGCCUAAUUUAGACUCAUCAGAGCAUCAGACAGUCUCUGUACAGGCCAGUGCAGCAGAAGCAUGCCAACUAAUGUAUGUUACUGUAACACACAACAGGAAGAAAAACGGUAUUUCCUCUAACCUUAUAGACCACAGUUAGCAGUUAGCUACUCAACAUUAUCAUUGUUUGAUGGGAUGGUGCUGGUGAUAAAAGUCUUGAUGCUGGUGUUAACUUUAGCUUCCUACACAAUGAAAUCCACAGGUUCAGCUUGGACGAGUUACAUGUGGGUGUAACAACCUGAGACAUGUAUUCAUUUAUUUCAGUUUCUGUAUCAGUUUAUAUUUUUUUUCUAUUUGAAACUUGCAUUUCUGAUCUCAAGUGCAAGUUAUUGACCCAAAUUUUACAAUUGAUUAGAUUACAAAAUGUGGAACAAGCCAAAGCUCCAAAGAGACUUGGCGACACUUAGCUCAGCAUAAAUACUAAUAAUGAACACAAACACAUUAAAAAAAGGAUACGGUUUUUUGGAAUUUUGGAACCAAUCCCGUAAAAGAGACGCUAAGCUGAUAUGUUUCAGCUGACUGUUUCUCUCUGUCAGAUAAAGAUGGAGCGUCGCCCAUUUACUACGCUUUGGGCGAGAGUGGUGUUCCACAACUUGCAACAGAGUGCAGCGUUCCCUCAGCGGCCAGAGAUCCCGGUAACAGUGACGUCUACUAUUCUACAAUUCGGGAUGUUGCUAAGCGCUGAUUGAAAGGAGGAGCCUCAUUAUCUACAUGAAAACCAGGAAGUAACAGUUAGGGCCAGUAUUGUUGUUGUUGUACAAGUUAAAAAAUACAUCUUUUGACCUCACGUCUGUUUGCUGUGUUACAAAUUUAAAAUAGUUUUUGCGCAAAACCAAACACAUGCAGUUUGACAGCAUGUGCACUUGAACUAACAUAUCGGAGAGGUUUUGGUUUAUUUUUGUCAGGGAGUUUAACCAACUUGUUCCAUCAGCUUCAUCUGUCCACAUAGUUUCUCAUCAGAUGAACUCUGCAGCUGCUUCUAAACAUGUUGUGGUUAUGUGCAUAUCUGAAGGGGUUGUAUUGCUUUUUUAUAGACUGUGGUCAUGUAAUGAAUAAAAGUCAUGUGCUACA